rnacentral:misc_RNA from 1 species
UAAGGAUGAUCAAGAAUAGGGUUUUUUAAAAAUCUCCCUCCCUUUUUGAUCUGAUUAGACACAAGGUUUAAACAUGAGUUUGUUUAAACCGUGCAUAUGACGCUAACUCUCAAUGAGUCCCUUUCACAAAAGAAGAGACCCCUCUUUGUAACUAAAGAGGAUCCCCCCCUGUCUCUUUGAGGCCCCUACCUCUGUUGAGAGAAGUAUUUGAGGGCUUAGUGCUCAUGUGUUGACAAUAUAAAAGCAGACUAGCCGUCUUCGUUUCUCUUUCUUCAGAUGAUGAUCCCAAGCCUUCUGGCGAUCUCUUAAAGUGAAGCCUUAUGUCAUAAUCACUCCACAUUUUUUAAAGAAAAAUAUGUGUUUCAAGGUGACAUGGAUUUUAAAAAACAUGGAUUUACUUAAAACUUAUGGGUUUUAAAAAGGCUUUAAAAGGAAAUGACUAAAAAAAGAAAGCCACUUAAGAAAGCUUUUCCAGUGAUUUAAGAUGAUACCGGGGAAGGUUUUCCGGUUUGUACCGGAGGGCUUG